AAUCUGGCACCUUCGGUGUCCGAGUUGUAAUCUCUAGAAAUGUUUUCCGCGUUGGACCGCACACAAGUCUGUUGGAAUACAGCGGCAUAGUGGUGAGACCCCCGUAUAUGGUGCGGACGCCCAGCGCUUUGUGAUACAUUUUCGAAGAGUCGAGUUGUUUGGGAAUGCAGCUCAAAUUGGGUGGUAAAUUCCAUCUAAAGCUAAAUAUUGGCGAGAGACCGAUAGCGAACAAGUACCGUGAGGGAAAGAUGAAAAGCACUUUGGAAAGAGAGUUAACAGUACGUGAAAUUGUUGGAAGGGAAACGCUUGAAGUCAGACUUGCUUGCUGAGCAAUCGGUUUGCAGGCCAGCAUCAGUUUUCCGGGAUGGAUAAUGGUAGAGAGAAGGUAGCAGUUUCGGCUGUGUUAUAGCUCUCUGCUGGAUACAUCUUGGGGGACUGAGGAACGCAGUGUGCCUUUGGCGGGGGUUUCGACCUCUUCACACUUAGGAUGCUGGUGGAAUGGCUUUAAACGACC
rnacentral:rRNA from 1 species